rnacentral:lncRNA from 1 species
GGUGGCCCUGCUGGCAGAGCGUGAACGCCUGAUGCAGGAUGGGCAUCGGCAGCGGGGCCUGGAGGAGGAGCUGCGGAGGCUUCAGAGCGAGCACGACAGGGCUCAGAUGCUGCUGGCAGAGGUGUCUCGGGAGCGGGGUGAGCUGCAGGGUGAACGCGGGGAGCUACGGGGCCGGCUGGCGCGGCUGGAGCUGGAGCGGGCACAGCUGGAGAUGCAGAGCCAGCAGCUGCGCGAGUCCAACCAGCAGCUGGACCUGAGCGCCUGCCGGCUGACCACGCAGUGUGAGCUAUUGACACAGCUGCGAAGUGCCCAGGAAGAGGAGAACCGGCAGCUGCUGGCUGAAGUUCAGGCCCUGAGCCGGGAGAACAGGGAGCUCCUGGAGCGCAGCCUGGAGAGUCGGGACCACCUGCACCGCGAACAGCGGGAGUACCUGUGAGUGGGCCGCCUGGGAACGGGGUGGGGCCUGCAUCCCCUUUGGGCGUUCCUGGGGAGAGCCCUUAGUGAGGGCCUAGGGACAGGGUUGGAGCUGACCUUCCAGGUCAGUCCGAUCUGCGGCACGGGACCAGUGCGUCCUCGCUGCAGCUUGUGCCUUGCUACUGCCUCGGCCUCCCUGGGCCUCACACCCACCUCUCCCUUCUCACUCCUGCCAGGGACCAGCUUAAUGCCCUGCGCCGUGAGAAGCAGAAGCUCGUGGAGAAG